AUAAAAAAAAAUUAAGGCAGCCCACUUCACUUAUUUAAUUUACUAAGGCCCAAACCAAACAAUUAAAGUGGUCCAACCUUUAAUUAAUUUAAUGGUCCAACUAAUUAAAUGAAAAAAAAAGCAUAAAGCCUAUCCUCCUCCACUCAACCAUCGGUUCUCAUCUCAUCUCUCUCUCUUUCCUCAAAAUCCCCAAUUCACUCACUUUUCCAAAUUAGGGAUUCAUAGAUUGAGAAGAAGCAGUUGCAGUUCCUCCUUCCACCUCGUCUCUCUCUCUUCUCUUUUCUCCCUCGUCGCCGUACCGCCGCCACCACCGCUGCGGAUCCACUCCCGCCGCGGAUCUGCCUCAGUCGCCGUCGCCGAGGGCCUCCCCAGCCUCCUUGGAUCCCGCUAUCACCUCGUGCAGCUCCUCCCGCCGCCGUGCGCGUCGCUGCCGCCGUCCCUCCUGCCGGCGCCACUUGCCUCCGUCGGCUCAUCUGCUGCGGCCGCCUCAGCCCCCCUCUCUCCCGAAUCUGCCGCCGCCGCUUCUUCUCCACGCCUCGCGCUGCAGGAGCAGCUCCCCAAAGCCACCACAGUCGCCACCUCCUCGCCGGAUUCCCGAAAGGUUGUGAAAUUAGUGACGUAUUGGGGUGUGGGGCUGUCCUCGUCGUCUCCGGGCUGCCAAAGACCCAUCGCCGGAAAUCCGGCAGAUUCUUAUUCGAGAGAUAAGUUUUCUUUUGUUUUCAUUCUCUCUAGUUAAUUUAAGUGGUAGGAUUUUAGUUGUUGUAUUUACUGAAUUUGACGAAUUUGGAUAUUAUGGAUCAUGUCUACUUCUUGAUAUUGUUGGUGUCACUUAUGCAAAUUCUAGAUUAAGAUGUAUGCAUGAUUCGUAUGUGUAAAGAGAAGGGGUUCUUGGAGUUUACCUUUUGAUGGUGAAAAAAAGUGUGGCUGGAUUAAGGACUUAAGAUGGAGUUUAUCUGCAACUCUCCUUCUGUUCCAUGUGGAAUUUUUUUUUUUUGAAAGUUUGAUUCUUACGUGGCUGGGUGAAAAAAAAUUGUAGGUAUAUAUACAUGUGUAUAUAAAAAAAAACAGCAUGAGACGUUGGCAACAAGUUUGUUGGCAGCAAGUUGCCAACAUUCUUCCCCCUUAAUCAUUCUCAUUUUGUCAGAACAUUUAAUGCACUCUCUCCUAACAUUUAAUGUUGUAGUAAAUGAGAUGUCACAAUAUCCAUGACAUAUCUAUCUUAAAUAAAUAAUGUGUCACAAUAUCUAUCUGAUUUAUUGCAUUAGAUUAUUCAUUUGGAAAGAAAACUUUAUUUGUUUAUUUGUUUGAUUUGGUGCAGGAAAAUCCAAUUCCAGUUCGGAGCUACUCUUGUUGAUGUACCCGAUUUUCUUUAGAACUAAAGAUGUAUUAAUUUAAAUUUUUGUUGGACUUUUAUCUGAUGUAUCAGACAUUAAAAUAUUGAUCAUGAGACUUUAUUUAUUUAUUUAAAUUUAUUAUAUUCA